rnacentral:rRNA from 1 species
UUUAUUAGAUCGUGCGUUCCAUGUGGAUAACUGUGGUAAUUCUAGAGCUAAUACAUGCAACAGGCCCUGACUUUUCGGAAGGGCGCUUUUAUUAGAUCAAAAUCAAUCAGGCUACGGCCUGUUAUUGUGAUGACUCUGGAUAACUUAGUGCCGACCGCAUGGCCUUGCGCCGGCGGCGUAUCUUUCAAAUGUCUGCCCUAUCAACUUUCGAUGGUACGUGAUAUGCCUACCAUGGUUGUAACGGGUAACGGAGAAUCAGGGUUCGAUUCCGGAGAGGGAGCCUGAGAAACGGCUACCACAUCCAAGGAAGGCAGCAGGCGCGCAAAUUACCCACUCCCGGCACGGGGAGGUAGUGACGAAAAAUAACAAUGCUGGGCUUCAAGUCCGGUAAUUGGAACGAGUACACUUUAAAUCCUUUAACGAGGAUCUGGUGGAGGGCAAGUCUGGUGCCAGCAGCCGCGGUAAUUCCAGCUCCACGAGCAUGUACGUAAGUUGUUGCAGUUAAAAAGCUCGCAGUUGGAUCUCAGUCCGAGGUCGGUGGUCUUCUCGAUACGGGAUAGCACUGCCGUGCCCGGUCUUCUCCUGGUCCAACUUCGCAGUGCCCUUGACUGGGUGCUGUGGAAUGCCAGAAAUUUUACUCUGAAAAAAUUAGAGUGCUCAAAGCAAGCCGAUUGUGCUUGAAUACUGUUGCAUGGAAUAAUGGAAUAGGACCUCGGUUCUAUUUUGUUGGUUUUCGGAGUCGAGGUAAUGAUUAAGAGGGACAGACGGGGGCAUUCGUAUUGCGCCGUUAGAGGUGAAAUUCUUGGAUCGGCGCAAGACGAACAACUGCGAAAGCAUUUGCCAAGAAUGUUUUCAUUAAUCAAGAACGAAAGUCAGAGGUUCGAAGACGAUCAGAUACCGUCGUAGUUCUGACCAUAAACGAUGCCAACUGGCGAUCCGCCGCAGUCUGGCUUGAAGGACUCGGUGGGCAGCCUCCGGGAAACCUAAGUCUAUGGGUUCCGGGGGAAGUAUGGUUGCAAAGCUGAAACUUAAAGGAAUUGACGGAAGGGCACCACCAGGAGUGGAGCCUGCGGCUUAAUUUGACUCAACACGGGAAAACUCACCCGGCCAGGACACCGUUAGGAUUGACAGACUGAAAGCUCUUUCU